GACUUUAUAGUCAACGAUGACAUUAGACUGCAAUUCUAAAGGAGUGGAGUAAUCUACUAAGGUUU
rnacentral:tRNA from 1 species